ensembl:lncRNA
CCGAGGCAGCAGAGAUGUCUAAAAUAGGAAGACGCCGGGACAAUUGGCCUGGCUGCCCGCGACGCUGGCUGCGGGGAUCUGGCCGGCCUGCGCAAAUGGAAAAGCUAAGAGCAUCUACUCGGCGCCAGACACUGUGCCAGGUGCUGGCUUUUGCAGGAGGGAGCAAGUCUCAGCAUCUGGUCUCUUGGAGCUCACAGGGGACACACGUUCGAUCCCUGGUCCGGGAAGAUCCCACAUGCUGUGGAGCAGCUAAGCCCGGGCGCCACCACCACUGAGCCCAGACUCCAGAGCCCUUGCUCUGCAACAAGAGAAGCCACUGCAAUGAGAAGCCUGAGCACCAGAGUGAAGAGCAGCCCCCACUCACCGCAACAAGAGAAAGUCCUCGUGCAGCAGUGAAGACCCAGUGCUGCCAAAUAAGUCCAUAAACUUUUAAAAAUAAUAGUAAAGAAAAGCUUUGCAGAGGAGGGGCCAACUGAGCUGGACAGACAGGGGUGAAGAGGUGUUCUCCGGGCAGACGCUAGUAAGGGCAGGCAACACCAUUGCG